rnacentral:lncRNA from 1 species
GUGGUGAUCUCAACGGUUUUCAAGUUCUCAAACAGGUAGAAGGGGAGAAGAUUUUUUUGGGAAAAAAAUUGGUUGCUUAUAUAGGGAAUCACUGAAGCGUGACUGGGAGCGAGCCCCCUCUUAGGUCAGUCAGUGGGCCCCCACUUAUGAAAAUUUCUGGAUCCCCCACUGGGGUUCGGGUGACCCUUGGGACUUCCCCUACAUUUCAUUUUAUUUGUUAUAUUGUCCCAUACAUAAAUAUAUAUGGUUUAGGGAUGGGGAUCUCAUUGGUUUCCAAGUUCUCAAACAGGAGGGGUAGGGUGACCCCAGGGACUCCCCCUAUAUUUCAUUUAAUUAGUUAUAUUGGCCCAUAUAUGAAUAUAUAUUGUUUUGGUGUGGGGAUCUCGACCGUUUCCAAGUUCUCAAAUAGGAGGGUUAGGGUGACCACAGGGACUUCCCCUAUUUCAUGUGAUUUGUUAUAUUGUCCCAUACAUGAGUAUAUAUGGUUUAGGGUGAGGAUCUUGACCAUUUCCAAGUUCUCAAACAGGAGGGUCUACAGUGACCCCAGGGACUCCCCUAUCUUUCAUUUGAAUUGUUAUAUUUUUCCCGUACAUCAAUAUAUAUAUGGUUAAGAGGUGGGGAUCUCAACGGGUUUCAAAUUCUCAAACAGGAGGGGGUGGGGUGACCCAAGGGACUCCCCC